CUUUCUAGAAAAACAUACUUAAAAGCUAUGAGAGAGUCAUUGGUGCUGUGCUGGAAAAUAAAAAUCACUGGACACUUUUUUUCUGUGACCUAACUAAACAAGAGGUCACAUACUUGGAUUCAUUUGGUGAGACAAAUGAAAAGAAAGAGAAGAUUCUUAAGAACUGGAGUUCUUUUGCCAAGGCAAAG